UACGUAGGUGGCGAGCGUUAUCCGGAAUUAUUGGGCGUAAAGAGCGCGCAGGUGGUUGAUUAAGUCUGAUGUGAAAGCCCACGGCUUAACCGUGGAGGGUCAUUGGAAACUGGUCGACUUGAGUGCAGAAGAGGGAAGUGGAAUUCCAUGUGUAGCGGUGAAAUGCGUAGAGAUAUGGAGGAACACCAGUGGCGAAGGCGGCGUUCUGGACUGCAACUGACACUGAGGAACGAAAGCCAGGGGAGCAAACGGG
rnacentral:rRNA from 1 species